rnacentral:lncRNA from 1 species
ACUUGAGAAAUAAAGAUUAAAUCGAUGAUGCUCUCAAAAGUAAAAUGACUUUCUGAGCUGGAUAGUGACAUUGUGAGCACCAAUAUAAAACUUAUAAACCUUUUUCCAUGUUUGUUAUAAUGAUCUUUUCAUUUUCCUUUGUAUAUUAAACUUGAGAAUAUUAUUCCAUAUUACUUCAACCAUUCCUUUUUAUGUGUUUGCAGUAUGACUGUAUGGUUCCCACUCAAAGUACAGGCCCAACAAACUUUUUUGAAGUAGGAGUCUAAAACUACAAAUCCAUCUAUUCCUAGAAUGGAGCUGGUUGGAGUUGAGCCUACAAUUGAGUGGGUAGUUUGGUGGCACCGACAUCCAGCUGAAAGUUAGGAGGGUUAGUAAAGCAAAUUUGUUCAUGAGGAAAUGUGUCAGCAAAACAUUGAGUCAAAGUGCAAGUCAAAUGCUCUUAACAAAUUUUUUGUCGCUUUUCCUUAAUUACAAUUCUUAUUUUUUUUAGUUGGCAUUGAUAUACAACAGAAAAUCCGGUGGCUUUUUUGCCCUCUCAUCAACCAUUGUAUUUUUGAAUUGUAUCAGUCUAUGUAAAAGAAUUCAGUACCUUAUGUUUUGUAUAUUUGGAAAUGUCUAAAGGCGUGGUGUUACAUAUAAUUGUAUGCUAUGCUUG